rnacentral:tRNA from 1 species
GGAUUUAGCUCAGUGGUAGAGCACUUGCCUAGCAAGCACAAGGUCCUGGGUUCGAUCCCCAGCUCCG